CCCUUAGAUGUCCGGGGCUGCACGCGCGCUACACUGAAGGAAUCAGCGUGCUAAAACCAUUGUCGAAAGGCAUUGGUAAACCCAUUAAAAUCCUACGUGAUUGGGAUCGGGAAUUGCAAUUAUUUCCCUUGAACGAGGAAUUCCCAGUAAGUGUGGGUCGUAAGCUCGCGUUGAUUACGUCCCUGCCCUUUGUACACACCGCCCGUCGCUGCCCGGGACUGAGCCGUUUCGAGAAAAGCGGGGACUGCUGCUGUCGGGGCUUUCGGGCCUUGGCUUCGGUGGAAACCGCUUUAAUCGCAGUGGCUUGAACCGGGCAAAANUCGUANCA
rnacentral:rRNA from 1 species